CCCUUCUCAGGUUCACACCUGGAGAAUUUCCAGUCCUCCACCAGGCUUGGCUAUGGGAGGGAGAGUCAAGCAGAGGCCUACCCAUUCCAUUCUUAGCUUGGCCAGUGGCUAAUGAGUGGAAGGUCAUCUGCUACAAGU